rfam:Loktanella atrilutea strain DSM 29326 genome assembly, contig: Ga0131175_104
UGGCACCUACGGGGGCCUUCACUUCAGGGGCUGCGCGCCAGCCCCGCCAAGCAAACGGAAGACAGAAA